rnacentral:rRNA from 1 species
AUAGUGGUGAGAACCCAGUACACGAUGCGGAUGCCUAUUACUUUGUGAUACACUUUCGAAGAGUCGAGUUGUUUGGGAAUGCAGCUCAAAUUGGGUGGUAAAUUCCAUCUAAAGCUAAAUAUUGGCGAGAGACCGAUAGCGAACAAGUACCGUGAGGGAAAGAUGAAAAGCACUUUGGAAAGAGAGUUAACAGUACGUGAAAUUGUUGGAAGGGAAACACAUGCAGUGAUACUUGCUAUUCGGGGCAACUCGAUUGGCAGGCCCGCAUCAGUUUUUCGGGGCGGAAAAUCGUAGAGAGAAGGUAGCAGUUUCGGCUGUGUUAUAGCUCUUUACUGGAUUCGCCCUGGGGGACUGAGGAACGCAGCGUGCUUUUAGCAUGAGCUUCGGCUUAUCCACGCUUAGGAUGCGGGUUUAUGGCUGUAUAUGACCCGUCUUGAAACAAC